rnacentral:lncRNA from 1 species
CGGAUCCACUCCUCUCCCACACUCCCUCACCUCCCCCCUCCCUCCCCCUGCCCACGCCCCACAUACCUGGGCUCCUGCCCCUUCCACCCCUCUCUGCUCCCUCCCUGCCCCCUUCCCUUCCUCCCCUCCCCUUUAUCUCACCUUCACCCCCUUUCCUCCUACACCCCUUCCGUGUCCCCACCCCCUGCCCUCAGUCCUCCUUCCUCCUCUUCCCCACAUCCCACCUCUCCUUUCCCCCUCCUUGUAGGCCCUCUUUCUCCUCAGCCCCCCUCCCCCCGCCUUUAGUCUCCUACCUCCCCUACAGCCUCCUGCCCCCGCCUCCUCACAGCCCCCUACUUACCCUACUGCCUCCCUCCUGGGGCCCUUUCCUCCCCAAGGGCCCCUCUGUUUUCUCCCAUUCCAGCCCCUGACCAGGCCCUGCUCCUCUGCUGGGGUCGGCCCCGCACAGUAAGCUGCCUGGGAGCCCUCAUUGCCUUCCUGGGCAACCCGGCCAAAGGCCCCCCGAGCAGCUGCAGCCCUGGAGGUCAGCCUCACCCUGGCAGACCGCAGGGGCCCCUCCUCACCGCCGACCUCUGCACCUUCACCCGUUUGCCUGGUGUCUGAGGAAGGGCCCGCAGGAAGAGCAUUCCUUUCCCAGGGUCUUCCUCAGGAGGGAUGAGAGGAAGCAAAAGCUUGGUCUGCAAACGGGCUGGUCCUCCCGACGGCCACAUCCGCAGGAAUGACCCUCAGAGGGGCUCCCCAACUGGCUGGGAGAUUCGUCCAGCUGGGCGCUCUGCUACACAGCCCCGUCAAGGGCAAACAGAUGACAAAACUGAGACACAAAAGAUGAAUCAGCUUGGCAGUGUUCACAGAGCCAGCGUGUGGAAAAGCCAGAAUCCAGACCCAGACCCGAACUGCAGCGUCCCGGCUCUUACCCCUAACCAGCCAGUGCCUCUCAGCUUAGUGCUCUUCCACCCGGCUUUUCUUUCUAAAAAUGACUCCACACCCACAGAAGGAGAGGGGGAUGAAGAAAUCUGCCAGGAGGGUGCCUCCCGCCAGUAUCUGAUGAAGCUCUCCUUUGGAGUAAUAUGUUGUCUGUGCCAAGGAUGGAAUGAAAACAGAGUAUGAUGGCUCAUCUUGACUUUUUCCUUACUUACAAAUGGAGAGCCCCAAAGUCCAAAUCCUUGGACCAGCUAUCCCCCAACUUCCUCCUUAGGGGCAGAAGGUGAGAGCAAGCAAACAUUUGAGUUGAUUCAUGAAACUUUACUGGGCAAAGAAUAGAAAAUGUUGGUUUGGACCCUCCUUCACUAUCUGGGGCCCCUCCACAUGAGCUCCUUCACCGAUCCGUCUCCUUCAGCUGCUUCCCCACUGUGACUCUACCAGCCCCUCUCUAUCCCCCCUUCAAGCCUGAGCACUUUCCCUGCACCCCCACCUGGAGUUGCCCAAUUCACAUGCUCUUGUUUAUUCACUGCUCUUCUGAGGAAGGGUGGGGUUGGUGUCAGGGUGACUUACUAGGUUUGACAGGGGCUUGGUGGCCUCAUGGGGAGCCCCUCAGACGCUGGCUUCACAUGGCCCCUCCUGCUGGCUUCACAUGGACCCAACGGCCCUCCCUGGAGCCCACCUCACAGUGGAUGGGACUGUACCUACUGGGCACUGGUGGGGCCCAGCAUUCAGCUGACGGCUGAAAAAACCUCCGGUCUACAUUGGGCUAAAAGGGAGGAAGAAUGUUUCUUGCCCUUUUGAGAUGUUUGCAAAAAUCCCCAAAAAGCAAUUGUGUUGUCAGAGUACAGCCUUGAAUCAGAAAGGUGGUUAGAAGAAUUUUAAUCACCCAGGAGCUUGGCAUCAACAUAAGAACAUGGCUGAUACUCAAGUCCAGAGAGACUAGGAGAACUGGGGAGUUUCAGAAGUUGGUCAAAGAACGUGUUGCCUUUGGCAAAACCACACGUGUCAAACAAUCCGAGUGUCUAAUCAAUCUGUAUCGCUCUCAGAGAGACUUUCAGCACAAGGUUUCAGAAGCCAGGAAAAGCCUAAUAAUGUAGGACAUCAGGUGUCCCCAGCAACCCUGGGGUGAAAAGCCAAAGAAGGUGGUUCUUAAACAAGGGCUUGGCCAGGCCCAGUGGCUCACACCUGUAAUCCCAGCACUUUGGGAGGCCAAGACGGGCAGAUCAUGAGGUCAUGAGAUCGAGACCAUCCUGGCUAAAACGGUGAAACCCCG